GAAUCUGAGGGGGUGCAUUAUGCCACCGGCAGAAAGUCCAAGAUGAGCAUUGUCCUUAAAGACACUACAGACCAGCCAGAGAUGUACAUUGCUGUGGAUUCUCCACCUAUGAUUAAAUUAUCCAAGAUGAGGAAAGGCAUCCGGGGCUUCUUCUGGGGAGUCCAGAAGGCCUGGAAACGCUUGUCA